rnacentral:rRNA from 1 species
UUUAACUGAGCGUUCAGUUACUUGACGUAGACCCGAAACCGGGCGACCUACCCAUGAGCAGGAUGAAGCGAAAGUAAAAUUUCGUGGAGGUCCGAACCCACGAGCGUUGAAAAGCUCGGGGAUGACUUGUGGGUAGCGGUGAAAUUCCAAUCGAGCCCGGAGAUAGCUGGUUCUCCCCGAAAUAGCUUUAGGGCUAGCCUCAAGGUGAGAGAUACGGAGGUAGAGCACUGAAUGUCCUAGGGGGUAUUGCACCUACCGAAGACUAUCAAACUCCGAAUGCCGUCAUCUUAUACUUGGGAGUCAGACUGUGGGUGAUAAGAUUCAUAGUCGAAAGGGCAACAGCCCAGAUCGUCAGCUAAGGUCCCUAAAUGUAAGUUAAGUGGUAAAGGAUGUGGGAUUGCACAGACAACCAGGAUGUUGGCUUAGAAGCAGCCACUCAUUCAAAGAGUGCGUAAUAGCUCACUGGUCGAGUGAUCCUGCGCCGAAGAUUUCCGGGGCUAAAACUUACUACCGAAGCUACGGCAUCAGUAAUGAUGGGUAGGGGAGCUUCCCAUACGGGUUGAAGCAUGACCGUAAGGACAUGUGGACAGUAUGGGAGUGAGAAUGUUGGCAUGAGUAGCGAGAUGUGGGUGAGAAUCCCACAGGCCGUAAACCCAAGGUUUCCAGGGGAAGGUUCGUCCGCCCUGGGUUAGUCGGGACCUAAGCUGAGGCCGAAAGGCGUAGGUGAUGGACAACAGGUUGAUAUUCCUGUACUACCGAUAACCGUUUGAGAGAAGGGAUGACACAGUAGGAUAAGCUAAGCACACUGUUGGUUAUGUGUGCCCAAGCAUUGAGGCAGUCAAAGUAGGCAAAUCCGCUUUGAUAAUGCUGGGAUGUGAUGGGGAGCGAAAUUUAGUAGCGAAGUAGCUGAUUUCACACUGUCAAGAAAAGUCUCUAUCGAGGUUAAAGGUACCCGUACCGCAAACCGACACAGGUGGGUGAGGAGAGUAUCCUAAGGCCAGCGAGAGAACUGUUGUUAAGGAACUCGGCAAAAUGACCCCGUAACUUAGGGAUAAGGGGUGCCACCAUCAGGUGGCCGCAGAGAAUAGGCCCAAGCGACUGUUUACCAAAAACAUAGGUUUCUGCUAAGUCGCAAGACGAUGUAUAGGAGCUGACGCCUGCCCGGUGCUGGAAGGUUAAGGGGAUCUGUUAGAGCAAUCGAAGCAGUGAACUUAAGCCCCAGUAAACGGCGGCCGUAACUAUAACGGUCCUAAGGUAGCGAAAUUCCUUGUCGGGUAAGUUCCGACCCGCACGAAAGGCGUAACGAUUUGGGCACUGUCUCAACAACAGACUCGGUGAAAUUGUAAUUCCGGUGAAGAUGCCGGAUACCUGCGACAGGACGGAAAGACCCCAUGGAGCUUUACUGUAGCUUGACAUUGGGUCUUGGUACUACAUGUACAGGAUAGGUGGGAGGCUUUGAAACCAGGACGCCAGUUUUGGCGGAGCCAUCCUUGGGAUACCACCCUUGUAGUACUGGGACUCUAACCAUAGGCCAUGAAUCUGGUCUUGGGACACUGUCAGGUGGGCAGUUUGACUGGGGCGGUCGCCUCCCAAAAGGUAACGGAGGCGCUCAAAGGUUCUCUCAGUACGGUCGGAAAUCGUACGUAGAGUGUAAAGGCAAAAGAGAGCUUGAUUGCAAGACAUACAGGUCGAGCAAGGAUGAAAAUCGGACUUAGUGAUCCGGUGGUUCUGCGUGGAAGGGCCAUCGCUCAACGGAUAAAAGCUACCCUGGGGAUAACAGGCUUAUCUCCCCCAAGAGUCCACAUCGACGGGGAGGUUUGGCACCUCGAUGUCGGCUCAUCACAUCCUGGGGCUGUAGUAGGUCCCAAGGGUUGGGCUGUUCGCCCAUUAAAGUGGUACGCGAGCUGGGUUCAGAACGUCGUGAGACAGUUCGGUCCCUAUCCGUCGCAGGCGUAGGAAAUUUGAGAAGACCUGUCCUUAGUACGAGAGGACCGGGAUGGACG